UACGGAGGAUGCGAGCGUUAUCCGGAUUUAUUGGGUUUAAAGGGUGCGCAGGCGGCCCGGAAAGUCAGCGGUAAAAUCGUAGGGCUCAACCCUAUCCGGCCGUUGAAACUGUCGGGCUUGAUUAGGAGAGAAGUAAGCGGAAUGCGCGGUGUAGCGGUGAAAUGCAUAGAUAUCGCGCAGAACUCCGAUUGCGAAGGCAGCUUACCGGCUCCUUAAUGACGCUCAGGCACGAAAGCGUGGGUAUCGAACAGG
rnacentral:rRNA from 1 species